AACGAACGCUGGCGGCAGGCUUAACACAUGCAAGUCGAACGCAUCCUUCGGGGUGAGUGGCAGACGGGUGAGUAACGCGUGGGAACGUGCCCUGUUGAUCGGGACAACCCGGGGAAACCCGGGCUAAUACCGAAUGUGGUGCCGGCUCAUGAGAGCCGUCACGCAAGGAAGCUUCGGCCUCCGCGACAGGAUGGGCCCGCGGCCCAUUAGCUUGUUGGUGGGGUAAUGGCCUAACAAGGCAACGAUGGGUAGCUGGUCUGAGAGGACGAUCAGCCACACUGGGACUGAGACACGGCCCAGACUCCUACGGGAGGCUGCAGUGGGGAAUCUUGCGCAAUGAGCGACAGCUUGACGCAGCAACGCCGCGUGGGGGAAGAAGGCUUUCGGGUCGUAAACCCCUUUCAGUUAGGACGAAGCUUUAUUGGUUAAUAACCAAUUGGAGUGACGGUACUUUCAGAAGAAGCCCCGGCUAACUACGUGCCAGCAGCCGCAGUAA
rnacentral:rRNA from 1 species